GUUAGCCUUUCCUAGUUUCCAUCUUCUUCCAAUUUUAGCAAGAUAUAAGGUAUCAGCACCAAGCUUGAUAUACCUUGAGUGUCUGCUGGCAAUAUAUAUAUGAAAAAGGAUUUUAAGAAUUUUUCCUAUCCUAUGAAGUUGUGAAAAUAACAAAUUUCUUAAUUAACAAUUCACCAAGUUUUCUGCUUCCUACCCUUCAUCAUCCAUUAGUCCAACUCCACCCUAGAAAAAACAUGAGCGUGGAACUUCCCCUGGUGGAAUUGCUCUCCUGCUUCUGGACAUGCAUCACAGAACAUGGAGGUUAUAUUUGUUACGGCGAAGAUCUCCACACUUUGCAAUCUAACAAGAUGGAAAUGCUGCGGCAGCUAAGGGACCAUUUGAAGAGAAGAGAGGAGACAGGUGACAGACUAAACGAGAUGUUGCAGCAUUGGUUUUCAAAGGUUGAAAUUGUCGAAACUAAUACUUUUGAACUGGUGGCUCGGGGCUCUCAAGAACUUGAAAACAACUGCCUUGGAAGCUGCUGUCCCAGGAAUUGCUGGUCCAGGCACAAGAUUGGAAGAAAAAUUCAGAGCACGUUGGCAGAAGCGGCUGCAAUAUACGACGAAGGAGACCAGUUAUUGGCUACACCUAUGGAAACAAUAUUAGGUAAGCUCCGGAGCUACAUUGGGAAAGAUGAAGUAGGACGCAUUGGCAUAUAUGGCAAAGGAGGUAUAGGCAAGACUACUGUCAUGAAUGAAAUUAGCAGUAACCUGCUCUCGGAGCACCGAUUUGACUACAUCAUAUGGGUCGUGGUGUCCCAGGAUCCUAACCUUGAAAAAAUCCAAGGUGAUGUUGGGAAGGAAGUGGGAUUUCUUGAAGAGAGAUGGAAAGGCAAAAACCCAGAAGACAGAGCCAAAGAGAUCUCUGAUAUUUUGAGCCACAAGAGGUUUCUAUUGUUGUUGGAUGAUAUCUGGAAGCCAGUUGAUCUAACUGAAGUGGGAGUUCCGCUUCCGGAUAGAGAGAAUGGCUCCAAAAUAAUAUUCACAACUCGUUCAGAGGAGGUCUGCAACCAAAUGGGUGCUGAAGAGAAGGUUAAAGUCGUCCGAUUAACAGAGAAGAAAUCUCUGGAAUUGUUUCAACAGAAUGUUGGGGAAGACACACUUCGAAUUGAUCAGCAGAUCCGUAAGCUAGCUGAAACCAUUGCCAAAAUGUGCGAUGGUUUGCCACUUGCACUUAUAACCGUUGGCCAGGCUAUGGCUUCCAAGAAGACGCUCCAAGAAUGGAAUCAUUCAUUUGAGGUCUUAAGCAAAUCUGUCUCAGAAAUUUCAGGUGCUAAAGAUCCAUUCUUUGCUUUGCUAAAGUUCAGUUAUGACAGUCUACCCAGUGAUGCAAUUAAAUCCUGCUUCUUGUAUUGUACUUUGUUUCCAGAAGACUUUAGCAUAAGCAAAUUUAACCUGAUAGAUUACUGGAUCGGGGAGGGAUUUUUGGAUGAAUUUAAUGAUCCAAGUGGCGCACGAAAUGAAGGCAAGAAAGUUAUCAGAACUCUAGUUCGUGCUUUUUUACUGCAGGAUGACGGCGAAGAUGUGAAAAUGCACGAUUUGAUUCGUGAGGUUGGCUUAUGGAUAGCAUGCGAAUGUGGGAAGCUCCAGGACAAGUAUUUGGUGGAGGCAGGAGCUAAUUUAAUCGAAGCACCAGAGAUCGGUAGAUGGGAAAGGGCUAGAAGAAUGUCGUUAAUGUCAAAUCGUAUUCAGAGCCUAACAAAAGCACCUAGAUGCAAUGAUCUUUCAACUUUGUUCCUUGGAAAUAAUCAUUUGAAGAUAAUUGGUAAUGCUUUCUUUCAGUUUAUGCCUUCUCUGAAAGUUUUGGACCUGUCUGGAAAUAGAGAACUAACCGAAUUGCCAUCAGGAAUUCUGAAAAUAGUUUCUUUACAAUAUCUGAAUCUGUCCAGUACAGGCAUAAGACAGCUGCCAGUUGAGCUAAGGAACUUGGUAAAGCUGAAAUGUUUGAACUUGGAGUAUACUUAUGAACUCCAAACGAUCCCAACGCGAGUUAUUUCUGGCUUUUUAAAACUGAAGGUACUGAGAAUGAUUCACUGUGCUUCUUCGGAUCGAACUGUUGGAGAUGGUAUACAGACGGGUGGUCAUCAAUCCUUUGUAAUGGUGUUGCAGCAGCUGGAACAUCUGAAUGAGCUAACUCUGAGCAUAACAAGCGAGUAUUCUCUCGAAGUAUUUAGGAGCUGGGACAAGUUUCAGACCUGCACGCUAGCUCUAUCCCUCCAUCAUUUCAAGCACUCAAGGUCAUAUAUCGACAUAUCAUUUCUUAAUGGCAUGAAAUGUCUGGCUGACCUUGAAUUCAUUAAUUGCAUAAAUUUGAAAGAGCUAAGAAUUGAGGAGUCAUUAAUCAUGAGGGGAGGAAGCUUCAAUAGCCUUCGCAAAGUUUCCAUAGUCAGUUGCUCAAAACUAGAAGACUUGACAUGGCUAACUCUUGCUCCAAACCUCGAGUUUCUCAUGGUAUCAAGAUGCUCCAACAUGGAAGAGAUAAUCUGCAAAGGGAAGUUGGUUGAAGGAAAUUUCAACUCAUUUGGAAAACUUGAAAUUCUACGCUUAGUUUCUCUGCCAAAAUUGAAGAGCAUCAAUCCAAUUGCCCUGCCUUUCCAAUGUCUGAAAGAAAUCGUUGUCGAUGAAUGUCCAAAGCUGAAGAAGCUUCCACUUAAUUCUAACAGCGCCAAGGAACAUAGAAUUGUCAUUCAAGGAUGGGAAGGCUGGUGGAAAAAUCUAGAAUGGGAGGAUGAAACCACCAGAAAUACUUUCCUUCUUUCUUUCAAAUCCUGUAUGUAUUGAAUUUACCUUCUGAGUGGCAACAACAACAGCCAAUAGGUGGCUUAGCGAUUUAUUAGCUGAGGGUCUUACGGAUGAAGAUGUGUUUCCUUUCUACACAGUCGUUUGUCUCCUUUUUGUUUUUUGAUCAGUUUCUGGGUCAUGUUUUUAGUUUAUGUAUUCCAUACUGUAUCUAUGAUUGUUUGUUUACUUAACAUUUCAAAGCCAUAAGUUAGGUCUAUUAGAAAGGGUUUUAGAUUGGUUUGAUUUAUUAAGUUAUAAAUAAAUAAAAUUUCGAUUUAUAAGAAAAAACAAAGGCA
rnacentral:misc_RNA from 1 species